rnacentral:miRNA from 1 species
UGAGGUAGUAGAUUGUUUAGUU